rnacentral:rRNA from 1 species
GACGAACCGUGCGAACGUUGUUCGGAAUCACUGGGCUUAAAGGGCGCGUAGGCGGGCUGCCAAGUCCGGGGUGAAAUCUUUCGGCUCAACCGGAAAAGUGCCUUGGAUACUGACAGUCUUGAGGGAGAUAGGGGCAUGUGGAACAUCCGGUGGAGCGGUGAAAUGCGUAGAUAUCGGAUGGAACGCCGGUGGCGAAAGCGACGUGCUGGUUCUCUUCUGACGCUGAGGCGCGAAAGCUAGGGUAGCGAACGGG